UGCAAGGUCGAGCGAACUGAUUAGAAGCUUGCUUCUAUGACGUUAGCGGCGGACGGGUGAGUAACACGUGGGCAACCUGCCUGUAAGACUGGGAUAACUUCGGGAAACCGAAGCUAAUACCGGAUAGGAUCUUCUCCUUCAUGGGAGAUGAUUGAAAGAUGGUUUCGGCUAUCACUUACAGAUGGGCCCGCGGUGCAUUAGCUAGUUGGUGAGGUAACGGCUCACCAAGGCAACGAUGCAUAGCCGACCUGAGAGGGUGAUCGGCCACACUGGGACUGAGACACGGCCCAGACUCCUACGGGAGGCAGCAGUAGGGAAUCUUCCGCAAUGGACGAAAGUCUGACGGAGCAACGCCGCGUGAGUGAUGAAGGCUUUCGGGUCGUAAAACUCUGUUGUUAGGGAAGAACAAGUACGAGAGUAACUGCUCGUACCUUGACGGUACCUAACCAGAAAGCCACGGCUAACUACGUGCCAGCAGCCGCGGUAAUACGUAGGUGGCAAGCGUUAUCCGGAAUUAUUGGGCGUAAAGCGCGCGCAGGCGGUUUCUUAAGUCUGAUGUGAAAGCCCACGGCUCAACCGUGGAGGGUCAUUGGAAACUGGGGAACUUGAGUGCAGAAGAGAAAAGCGGAAUUCCACGUGUAGCGGUGAAAUGCGUAGAGAUGUGGAGGAACACCAGUGGCGAAGGCGGCUUUUUGGUCUGUAACUGACGCUGAGGCGCGAAAGGCGUGGGGAGCAAACAGGAUUAGAUACCCUGGUAGUCCCACGCCGUAAACGAUGAGUGUUAAGUGUUAGAGGGUUUUCCGCCCUUUAGUGCUGCAGCUAACGCAUUAAGCACUCCGCCUGGGGGAGUACGGUCGCAAGACUGAAACUCAAAGGAAUUGACGGGGGGCCCGCACAAGCCGGUGGGAGCAUGUGGUUUAAUUCGAAGCAACGCGAAGAACCUUACCAGGUAAAAUUUAUGUUUUUUUCCCCUCACGUUAUAGAGCGGGGCCCUUCGGGGGACAAAGAAACAGGUGGUGCAUGGUUGUCGUCAGCUCGUGUCGUGUGGUGCAUGGUUGUCGUCAGCUCGUGUCGUGAGAUGUUGGGUUAAGUCCCGCAACGAGCGCAACCCUUGAUCUUAGUUGCCAGCAUUUAGUUGGGCACUCUAAGGUGACUGCCGGUGACAAACCGGAGGAAGGUGGGGAUGACGUCAAAUCAUCAUGCCCCUUAUGACCUGGGCUACACACGUGCUACAAUGGAUGGUACAAAGGGCUGCAAGACCGCGAGGUCAAGCCCACCCCCUAAAACCAUUCUCAGUUCGGAUUGUAGGCUGCAACUCGCCUACAUGAAGCUGGAAUCGCUAGUAAUCGCGGAUCAGCUUACCGCGGUGAAUACGUUCCCGGGCCUUGUACACACCGCCCGUCACACCACGAGAGUUUGUAACACCCGAAGUCGGUGGAGUAACCGUAAGGAGC
rnacentral:rRNA from 2 species